CUUGGUCAUUUAGAGGAAGUAAAAGUCGUAACAAGGUUUCCGUAGGUGAACCUGCGGAAGGAUCAUUGCGUUCNNUAGCCUAGCUACUGUCAGUGGGGCUCGUUAGUCUGCAUAGCUUAAACGCUGAUGAGCAGCAGGCCCCCUGUCUUCACCCUUGUUUUUUGCGUACCCAUGUUUCCUCGGUGGGCUUGCCCGCCGGCUGGACAAAACUAUAACCUAUUUAAUUUUCAAUCAGCGUCUGAAAUAAUUUUAAUAAUUACAACUUUCAACAACGGAUCUCUUGGUUCUGGCAUCGAUGAAGAACGCAGCGAAAUGCGAUAAGUAGUGUGAAUUGCAGAAUUCAGUGAAUCAUCGAAUCUUUGAACGCACAUUGCGCCCCUUGGUAUUCCAUGGGGCAUGCCUGUUCGAGCGUCAUUUGUACCCUCAAGCUUUGCUUGGUGUUGGGUGUUUGUCCCGCCUCUGCGCGCGGACUCGCCCCAAAUUCAUUGGCAGCGGUCUUUGCCUCCUCUCGCGCAGCACAAUUGCGUCUGCGGGGGGGCGUGGCCCGCGUCCACGAAGCAACAUUACCGUCUUUGACCUCGGAUCAGGUAGGGAUACCCGCUGAACUUAAGCAUAUCAAUAAGCGGAGGA
rnacentral:rRNA from 1 species